CAAUAUUUUCACCACCACCGAGAUAUAAUCGGUAGGUAGGCCCCUAUUGGGUAACCUAUGAUCAGUUGGUACAUUAUAUACCGAGCAUAUUGUGGCCGAGCACCUAUGAGCGAGCCCAGAAUGGCCGAGAGGCUGAGCAUAGUAUGGCCGAGCACCUAUGAACGAGACUACUAUGGCCGAUCAGUUACACAUUGAGAGAGUUGAGUCUGUAUCAGCAGGUAAGUAUAUUCACAAAUGAUCUUUGACUCCCAGUUACUUUCAGUUAUUAUAUUAUCAGCUUAGUUUUAACUUUCAGUUAUUCUAUUGCCUUACAUACUCGGUACAUUAUUUCAUACUGACGUCGCAUUCCUAGGGACACUGCAUUUCAUGCAUGCAGGUUCGGAUAGAUAGACUGAUAAACCUCCUCCGUAGGUGCUGUCCGUGAUCAGCUUGAUAGGUAAGCUCCACGUACUUCGGAGUUGCCGGAUAUAAGGUUUUGAGUACAUAUUGUGUAUAUAUUAUGGGUAGGUCGAGGCCCUGUUCCGACCAUAGCACAUCCAUCAGUAGAGGCUUGUAGACAUAUUUUGCCAGUUAGUGCAGUAUGUUGGGCUUGUAGGACUUGUAUUUAUAUUUUUGUUAGCUUGUGAGUUGUAGUAGUUAUGAUGGCCUUGUCGGCACAUCUUUAUAUUGAUGUUCAGUCAAAGCUAUCUUCCAUUCAGUUUUUUAUUUUGUUUCACAAAAUGUCUUGCAACGUGGCCCUAUGGCAACGGUUAUUUUGUAA
rnacentral:lncRNA from 1 species